ACUACUACGUACGUUCGUCGUCGGUAGGUUGUUCGUCCUCGGCGUCGACGACGACGACGUCGUGGGCGGCGUCGUACUACACAGCAAGUCGAACGGAAAGGCCCUUUCGGGGGUACUCGAGUGGCGAACGGGUGAGUAACACGUGGGUGAUCUGCCCUGCACUUUGGGAUAAGCCUGGGAAACUGGGUCUAAUACCGAAUAGGACCAUGGCCUGCAUGGGCUGUGGUGGAAAGCUUUUGCGGUGUGGGAUGGGCCCGCGGCCUAUCAGCUUGUUGGUGGGGUUAUGGCCUACCAAGGCGACGACGGGUAGCCGGCCUGAGAGGGUGUCCGGCCACACUGGGACUGAGAUACGGCCCAGACUCCUACGGGAGGCAGCAGUGGGGAAUAUUGCACAAUGGGCGCAAGCCUGAUGCAGCGACGCCGCGUGGGGGAUGACGGCCUUCGGGUUGUAAACCUCUUUCAGUAUCGGCGAAGCUCCGUGGUUUUCUGCGGGGUGACGGUAGGUACAGAAGAAGCACCGGCCAACUACGUG
rnacentral:rRNA from 1 species